AGAGUUUGAUCAUGGCUCAGGAUGAACGCUAGCUACAGGCUUAACACAUGCAAGUCGAGGGGAAACGGCAUUGAGUGCUUGCACUCUUUGGACGUCGACCGGCGCACGGGUGAGUAACGCGUAUCCAACCUUCCCAUUACUGUGGGAUAACCUGCCGAAAGGCAGACUAAUACCGCAUGGUCUUCGAUGACGGCAUCAGAUUUGAAGUAAAGAUUUAUCGGUAAUGGAUGGGGAUGCGUCUGAUUAGCUUGUUGGCGGGGUAACGGCCCACCAAGGCAACGAUCAGUAGGGGUUCUGAGAGGAAGGUCCCCCACAUUGGAACUGAGACACGGUCCAAACUCCUACGGGAGCAGCA
rnacentral:rRNA from 1 species